rnacentral:rRNA from 1 species
UGGGGAAUAUUGCACAAUGGGCGAAAGCCUGAUGCAGCAACGCCGCGUGAGUGAUGAAGGCCUUCGGGUUGUAAAGCUCUGUCUUUUGGGACGAUAAUGACGGUACCAAAGGAGGAAGCCACGGCUAACUACGUGCCAGCAGCCGCGGUAAUACGUAGGUGGCAAGCGUUGUCCGGAUUUACUGGGCGUAAAGGAUGCGUAGGCGGAUUUUUAAGUGAGAUGUGAAAACCCUAAGCUUAACUUGGGGGACUGCAUUUCAUACUGGAAAUCUAGAGUGCGGGAGAGGAGAAUGGAAUUCCUAGUGUAGCGGUGAAAUGCGUAGAGAUUAGGAAGAACACCAGUGGCGAAGGCGAUUCCCUGGACCGUAACUGACGCUGAGGCAUGAAAGCGUGGGUAGCAAAACAGGAUUAGAUACCCUGGUAGUCCACGCCGUAAACGAUGAGUACUAGGUGUAGGAGGUAUCGACCCCUUCUGUGCCGCAGUUAACACAAUAAGUACUCCGCCUGGGGAAGUACGAUCGCAAGAUUAAAACUCAAAUGAAUUGACGGGGUC